AAAGAAAAUCUUGUACAAAUAGAGGAAAAAAAUUAAAAAAGGCAUCACCAUUUAAUUUAACCAAGUUAUAUAAAGUACAAUCAGCAAGAUAUACCAGCUUAGCGGGCCAUACUACAAAAAACAAAAUGUGAUCAUCAAGCACAUUUCACUUCUAAAUUUAGAAUAUAAAAAUCAAUUUAACAGAGAACGUAAUUGUAAGAAAUUGAGUUUAAGUACCAUAAACUUCACAGAGAAGCACCACUGCCAAAGAAAAUCUUGUACAAAUAGAAGAAAAAAAUUAAAAACGGCAUCACCAUUUAAUUUAACCAAGUUAUAUCAAAUACAAUCAACAAAGUAUACUAGCUUAGUGGACUAUACUACAAAAAACAAAAUGUGAUCAUCAAGCACAUUUCACUUCUAAUGUUUCCAGAUAAUUAGGCAAAAGACACGACAGAUGCAUACUUGCUUAUUAGAAUUGAAAUGGCAUUUUCCACAAAAAUGAUUGCCAAGAUGCCCAUACACACGAAUAAGAGUGACUUCAAACCCCGUAAAACACUCCAAAAACUCAGAAUAAGUUAAUCACCAUCUUGAAAAAAAUAAGAAACAGUAAAUCCACUACAAAGUGAUAUUGGAAAACCAGAUGUUUCUUUCAUUAAUUUAAUAAAGAAGAUCCCAGAACAACAAAACCAUCACCUUACAAUUCUAAUACAGGUAUUCCUCCUCCGUUCGUCCAUCUUCAGCAUCACCGGAAAUGGCACUCUCCGCCGUUGAAUUUGACUCCACAAACUCGUUCUUACUCAAGCUCAGGAAGAUCCCGGUUAUCGUCUUCCUCUUCCUUCAUGUUCUUGGGUAGGAGAUUGCAGGAGGCAAGGAGGCUCGAUUUUGAAGUUGAAAGGGAGGCUUUACGAGAAUGACAACGGAAAUACGGUUUCUCCUUUUGAUAACGGGUUGGG
rnacentral:lncRNA from 1 species